rnacentral:rRNA from 1 species
AGUGAACGCUGGCGGUAGGCCUAACACAUGCCAGUCGAACGGCAGCACAGUAAGAGCUUGCUCUUACGGGUGGCGAGUGGCGGACGGGUGAGGAAUACAUCGGAAUCUACUUUUUCGUGGGGGAUAACGUAGGGAAACGUACGCUAAUACCGCAUACGACCUACGGGUGAAAGCAGGGGAUCUUCGGACCUUGCGCGAUUGAAUGAGCCGAUGUCGGAUUAGCUAGUUGGCGGGGUAAAGGCCCACCAAGGCGACGAUCCGUAGCUGGUCUGAGAGGAUGAUCCGCUAGACUGGAACUGAGACACGGCCCAGACUCCUACGGGAGGCAGCAGUCGGGAAUAUUGGACAAUGGGCGCAAGCCUGAUCCAGCCAUACCGCGUGGGUGAAGAAGGCGUUCGGGUUGGAAAGCCCUUUUGUUGGGAAAGAAAAGCAGCAGGUUAAUACCCCGCUGUUCUGACGGUACCCAAAGAAUAAGCACCGGCUAACUUCGUG